UACGGGGGGGGCAAGCGUUGUUCGGAAUUACUGGGCGUAAAGGGCUCGUAGGUGGCCAACUAAGUCGGAUGUGAAAUCCCCAGGCUCAACUUGGGAACUGCAUCCGAUACUGGAUGGCUUGAAUCCGGGAGAGGGAUGCAGAAUUCCAGGUGUAGCGGUGAAAUGCGUAGAUAUCUGGAGGAAUACCGGUGGCGAAGGCGGCAUCCUGGACCAACACUGACGCUGAGUGAGCGAAAGCCAGGGGAGCAAACGGG
rnacentral:rRNA from 1 species